CUACGGGAUGCACCAGUGGGGAAUAUUGCACAAUGGGCGCAAGCCUGAUGCAGCCAUGCCGCGUGUAUGAAGAAGGCCUUCGGGUUGUAAAGUACUUUCAGCGGGGAGGAAGGGAGUAAAGUUAAUACCUUUGCUCAUUGACGUUACCCGCAGAAGAAGCACCGGCUAACUCCGUGCCAGCAGCCGCGGUAAUACGGAGGGUGCAAGCGUUAAUCGGAAUUACUGGGCGUAAAGCGCACGCAGGCGGUUUGUUAAGUCAGAUGUGAAAUCCCCGGGCUCAACCGGGGAACUGCAUCUGAUACUGGCAAGCUUGAGUCUCGUAGAGGGGGGUAGAAUUCCAGGUGUAGCGGUGAAAUGCGUAGAGAUCUGGAGGAAUACCGGUGGCGAAGGCGGCCCCCUGGACGAAGACUGACGCUCAGGUGCGAAAGCGUGGGGAGCGAACAGGAUUAGAUACCCGCGUAGUC
rnacentral:rRNA from 1 species